AUUGAACGCUAGCGGGAUGCUUUACACAUGCAAGUCGAACGGCAGCGCGGACUUCGGUCUGGCGUCGAGUGGCGAACGGGUGAGUAAUGUAUCGGAACGUGCCCAGUAGCGGGGGAUAACUACGCGAAGGCGUAGCUAAUACCGCAUACGCCCUACGGGGGAAAGCAGGGGAUCGUAAGACCUUGCACUAUUUGAGCGGCCGAUAUCGGAUUAGCUAGCUGGUGAGGUAACGGCUUACCAAGGCGACGAUCCGUAGCUGGUUUGAGAGGACGACCAGCCACACUGGGACUGAGACACGGCCCAGACUCCUACGGGAGGCAGCAGUGGGGAAUUUUGGACAAUGGGGGCAACCCUGAUCCAGCCAUCCCGCGUGUGCGAUGAAGGCCUUCGGGUUGUAAAGCACUUUUGGCAGGAAAGAAACGUCGCGGGCUAAUACCCCGUGGAACUGACGGUACCUGCAGAAUAAGCACCGGCUAACUACGUG
rnacentral:rRNA from 1 species